GACGAACGCUGGCGGCGUGCUUAACACAUGCAAGUCGAACGGUGAUGCUCCAGCUUGCUGGAGUGGAUCAGUGGCGAACGGGUGAGUAACACGUGAGCAACCUGCCCCAGACUCUGGAAUAAGCGCUGGAAACGGCGUCUAAUACUGGAUACGAAACUGGCCCGCAUGGGCAUGGUUUGGAAAGUUUGUCGGUUUGGGAUGGGCUCGCGGCCUAUCAGCUUGUUGGUGAGGUAAUGGCUCACCAAGGCGACGACGGGUAGCCGGCCUGAGAGGGCGACCGGCCACACUGGGACUGAGACACGGCCCAGACUCCUACGGGAGGCAGCAGUGGGGAAUAUUGCACAAUGGGCGAAAGCCUGAUGCAGCGACGCCGCGUGAGGGAUGACGGCCUUCGGGUUGUAAACCUCUUUCAGCAGGGAAGAAGCGAAAGUGACGGUACCUGAAGAAGAAGCACCGGCUAACUACGUG
rnacentral:rRNA from 1 species